UUCCAGCACAGCAGCUCUGACUGUACACUGCAAGCAUGGCCGGGGACAGUGAAACACAUCUUAGGGACCGUGGCGAGAAAACCGACGUUAUCCGACAACCUUUUCUCAUCGGUGUAUCUGGAGGCACCGCCAGUGGCAAGUCGUCAGUAUGUGAGAAGAUCAUGGAGCUGCUGGGCCAGAACAAGAUCGACCAUCACCAGAGGCAGGUGGCCAUCCUCAGCCAGGACAGCUUCUACAAGGUGCUGACCCCGGAGCAGAAGGCAAAGGCACUGAAGGGCCAGUUCAACUUCGAUCACCCAGAUGCCUUUGACAGUGAGCUCAUAAUGCAAACACUCAGGAAGAUCCUGCAGGGGGAGACGGUCCAGAUCCCAUUGUAUGACUUUGUUCAUCAUUCCAGGAAAGAGGAGUUCAUCACGGUGUACCCGGCUGAUGUGGUGCUGUUCGAGGGCAUCCUCAUGUUCUACUCUCAGGAGAUCAGAGAUCUGUUCCAGAUGAAGCUGUUUGUCGACACGGAUCCAGACACACGGCUCUCUCGCAGAGUUCUCCGAGACAUCAGUGAGCGUGGCAGGGAGCUGGAGCAGGUGCUGGCUCAGUACAUCACCUUUGUGAAACCGGCCUUUGAGGAGUUCUGUUUACCAGUAAGUGAUGUGCCGGCCUUACAAGCGCCUUUCGUUUUUGGAGUAGAGCCUCACUGAUACACUGGGAUGCCAAACAUUACUAGCCAAUAUUAGCUUCAAGUUUUAUGUUGGUUUUAAUGUAUUUCAUCCCAUGUAAAACAAGAAAUGACAGCACAGAAAAGCCAAAGAUGUAUUUGAGACAAAGAAGUAUGCAGAUGUGAUUAUUCCACGAGGAGCAGAUAACCUUGUCGCCAUCAACUUGAUAGUACAGCACAUCCAAGACAUUAUGAACGGCGGACCAAGCAAGCGCCACAACGGCUGCACGAACGGCCACGUUGCCCCCCGUCAGCGGCGGACCUCGGAGUCCAGCAGCCGGCCUCAUUGACGUCGUGGCACCUCUCUCACAGGGCGGAGAGGGGUGUGGGAGCUGCCUGUAAAUAAUGCCUGUCGGCAUCACUGUAUUUAAGAGAGGAAAAAAAAGAAAUGCAAAAAGAAUUGAAAUGCCUAUUAUUAUUAUUAUUAUUAUUAUUAUUAUUAUUAUUAUUAUAAUAAUGACUACUCAUGUUAUUGGUUACCUUCAUUUUAAUUGUUAAUUUUUUUCAGGAGGUUUAAAACAAGUUGUUGUGAUGGGUUUAAAUGACCUCAUGCAUUUUCCUCCCAGGUUGCUUUUUGUUUUUUUUAUGUAUCCCCGCUGCUCCAUGGAGUUUCAUGCCGCUAAUGAAUAAAAGAGGGGAACCCCUUUUUUUUCCCUUUUUUUUGUAAUGACUGAUAAAACUUGAAGCCGUAAUGCCAGCGCGAGUCUGAUAAAUGUUUGGGUGUGUUCCAAACGAUAAGGAUUUGAAGAAGAGUUGAAGAAAACCAGGAUUGCAAUGUGUAUUUGUACUGACAAUCUAUGGGUGUCUUUCCAACCCUUUUCUUCAGUGUUAAAGAUGUGUUAUUCAAGAGGUCUGUUUACUACAAAGUGUCCAUCACUGACUACACACUACAGGAUUGUUUUUAGUACUGAUUCUCAUGUGCGGAUUAAUGUGAUCACCAGACCAAUGAAGCCUAAGGCUGGAAGGAUCAGCUGACUACUGUAUCAACCCAGUCUAGUGUUGCGGGUAUUGUUACACUCUUAAUGAAAAUAUUGAUAUAUAUCCCAAUCAAAAGAAAGCAAAGAAACACUUAUUUUGAGAGUGAGAUUAAAUGAACUAUUACAAAAAUGUAGAUAUGUGAAUUCCUCUAUGAAGUCCCUAUUUUUUUUGCUGGUUUUUCUAGCUAUCACAUGGCAAAAAAAAGCCUGCAAGAUUAUGAUAUGAAAUAUAUACUCUGGUUAGGAAUACCAUCAUGAUAUUAAAAUGCCAGACAAAGGUGUUCGGUGCCACAGCUAUAUUAGUUUCCCCCAGUGUAUGGCCAUUAACCACCAAGACCUACCGCAUUGCCUCAGGUUAAUAUGUACAGCAAGUAUCCACAGUAGGGGCCAGUUUCCAUUCUUUAAGUUAAAGAUACAAUAAAUAAAAAAAAACUGUUGAAUCAAUUUUGUAUUCCAUGUGCUGUAUUUGUUGUGUAUGGUGUAAUUGAAUGACUGAUUUGUACCAUGAGAUUUGUACUGUAUGGCUGUUGCAUUGUCACGUUUUUUUUAAUGAAUUGUGACAGAUUGCUUGGUGUUCAAUAAACUGAUGCAGCCGAA